rnacentral:misc_RNA from 1 species
AAGUCGUAACAAGGUUUCCGUAGGUGAACCUGCGGAAGGAUCAUUACAAAUCCAUCACGUCUCCUCAUCCGAGACCACGUUGAAAUGUUCCCCAGGUCAGGAUGCGCUCGUCACUCUGUGGCGGCACGCCUGGUCUGGGCUGUUAAACUAGUGUUUCCUUGUUGCUCAAUUGUAUACUGGUGCUCAUCUACCCGAUGACGCUUGACAACAAAGUACAACUUAUAACAAUGGAUCUCUAGGCUCUU